rnacentral:lncRNA from 1 species
AAAAAAAAUCAGAAAAGUCAUCAAAUAGGACACAUGUCAACACCUGGCAGAAACAAUUUAUUUCAUCUGCAUAUUAUAUUCAAAAUUAGGCCUUGGAAAAUUCUAUAAAUAGGAAGCCAAUGCAUUCAAUUCAUAAGGAAUUCAUAACCAAUUCAUAUUACACAAAAACCUUGAAGCUCUGAAGCUCUGAAACUUCGAAGUUCUUAAGCAUCCAGGUUCCCGAAGAAUCAAGAAAGCCCUAUUCGUUCUUCGUUC